rnacentral:ncRNA from 1 species
CACCCUGAGGAGCGCUGCAACGGGGUUUCUCCCCGCCAGGCUCAGGUUCGUGCAACGGCGCUCGCUGACU